CACGUAGGGGGCGAGCGUUGUCCGGAUUUAUUGGGCGUAAAGAGCUCGUAGGCGGCUUGGUAAGUCAGGUGUGAAACCUCCAGGCUCAACCUGGAGACGCCACUUGAUACUGCCAUAGCUAGAGUCCGGUAGGGGAGCGUGGAAUUUCUGGUGUAGCGGUGAAAUGCGUAGAUAUCAGGAGGAAUACCGGUGGCGAAGGCGGCCUUCUGGACGAUGACUGACGCUGAGACGCGAAAGCGUGGGGAGCAAACAGG
rnacentral:rRNA from 1 species